CCCCUGGUGGUCCAGUGGUUAGGAUUUUGUGCUCCCAAUGCAGAGGGCAUGGGUUCGAUCCCUGGUUGGGGAA
rnacentral:tRNA from 1 species